CAGUAGCCGCGGGAAUACAGAGGGUGCAAGCGUUAAUCGGAAUUACUGGGCGUAAAGCGCGCGUAGGUGGUUCGCCAAGUUGGAUGUGAAAUCCCCGGGCUCAACCUGGGAACUGCAUCCAAAACUGGCGAGCUAGAGUAUGGUAGAGGGUGGUGGAAUUUCCUGUGUAGCGGUGAAAUGCGUAGAUAUAGGAAGGAACAUCAGUGGCGAAGGCGACCACCUGGACUGAUACUGACACUGAGGUGCGAAAGCGUGGGGAGCAAACAGGAUUAGAUACCCCGGUAGUCCCUGUCUCUUAUAC
rnacentral:rRNA from 1 species